CGCCGCGCCUCGGGCCGCCGUCCCCUCCCGGGUCAGCUCUCGAGCCCUACUGCUGCCCCUGCGGCUCUGUCUGUCCCCGCUGCGCGGCGUGGGGCGAGCUGGCCAAGGAGCCCUGGAAGGCAGCCAGCCAACCGAGGGUCCUGAUCUGGGGGUGGGGGUCGGUGGGAGAGCCGCUAAUCCUCACUCCAGAAAGACAACCAUUUUAUGAGUGGGGCGCGCAACCUUAGAGAAAAACUGAGGCGAAAAUCCUGAGGCGAACACGUUUUCUAGUGGAAAAGGGCUCCGCAGGUGCUAUAGACGCUUUCUCUGGGCUAGACCCGGGAGACCAGCCCUCCUGCUUGGACCUGGCCCUCAAGAGGGCUCCGUCUUAAUGAGCUUCCCCACCCUCCUCAUCAUAAAGGGCCUCAGGGUUAACGACCAGACUUUUCCUAAGAAAGAUUUUUCCCCCCGGUGGUAAACACUGGAAACUUCGUAGUAGCCUCAGGCUUCCUUCCUCUACAACCUGCCUAAAGUCAGUCACUGUACCUGAGAUGCUGAGGGAAGGGGCGGGCACAGAGAGCUGGACCCUGAGUUGGAAAGCUCCAACCUGCUAUUUUUUUUUUAAAACCUCUCAAUUGCUUCCUACUGUGAAGAUCUCCACUAAACAAAGAUCUUUUGAUCAUUGAGCUUUUUUUCUUUCCCCCAUAAAUUUGACUAUUUCAUAAAUGCAAGUGAAAAUGUAGAAUUAAAAUAUUUUAAAGGAAGACAUUUCUAAAUGGUAAACUGCCAACAUCAACCAAGCAUGUAAUGGAAAAAUCAAGACUAAAAAGAAAAGGAAAAGUCACGCAGUGCAACCCGUUGAUAUAUUUACACAGAGAUAGUUGAGGGGAUGAACUGGUAAAUACCACCAUCCAUAUCAAAGCUGUAGAAAACACUCACUUAUGGACUCCAGUUUCUAAAGCCCACCUCUUUCUGUUUGUCACUCAAACAAUCUUGGAUCUCAUUGCUCCUUUUAAACUGAUAGGGCUGUCAUAAGCUCUUUCUGGUUGCUGUGUGGUUAAGUGACACAAGAACCCUCUAUGCUGAGUCUUUGUUCUCUCCCUGGGGCCCUGUGGUUGAAGUAAUUAGCAGGGAGGUUCCAUCAAGAGUCACUGAGGGUCCCUGUACUGUGCCAGUCCUCUGUAGAGUGUAGUGCAGAAAAACCAGUUGGUAGGCUUUUGCCCCCUGGUGGUGAUCAAGACUGCCUAUGAGAUGAGAAUUGAAGAACUGUGGUUCACAGAUGAGAAACAACGUUAUCCCCAGAGCUCCAGAGUGAACAGGAAAGAGAAGGCAAGGUUCAGAAGUAAGAACUUUGAACCAAGACUUAAGAGACUAAACAAAAAACUAUGUAGAGAGCCAAGAUGAGAGCUAAAUGUCCCCAAAUAAAUGUAUUUAUAAACCGAAAGAGAAGUAUUGUCCAAAUCAGUAAUUCUCAGUAUGUUGAUUUUCCUACUGAUAUGUGGUUGACAACUUGGGUUUUCUUCUAUAUAGUGGCAUACUCUAAAGAAAUUCAUCUGGAAAAGGAGACAUUUAAGUCCAUUAACCUUACAAUGAGACCAAGCACUGCUGUGAGUCAGACCUAGCUUCUAGUUCCAGCUGUGUAAAACCUUAUGCAAAUGAGUUGAACUUUUUGAGCUGUAGUUCCUUAUUCUCUAUGAUGAAACCCUAACUUACAGGACUUUCAUAAUCAAAUGAGAUAAUGUAUACAAAUUAAAAGGUCCUACAUGCAGUCAAGAUAAUUUUCUAUUCUCUGAAGUGUAUUCUGAGUUCAUAAAGGCCUUGUUGAAUGUAUAUUAUGUACAGGAAAUAUCUUCAAGCAAAAGAAAAAAAUGAGACAUGGUCCAUGCUUUUUCUAAACUGUAGGUUAAUGGUCAAGAUAUAUAUCAUCUGUAGUUAAGUAUAGAACAUUUUUGUUCAGCAUGUCUAAGGUGAUGAAAUUGGGUUAUAAAGUACUCAACUUGUACAGUUUGUAUCAAGAAGUUGAUUUAUUAUCAUAUAAAAGAAAUGUAUCUCAGUGGUAUAUUAGAAACUGAUACUUGAAAAUUAUUGCUGCAUAUUAUCUACUGAGAGAAAGAGAAUGUUAAUGUAUGUUAUAUACUAGGUACUCUUUUGUUUUUCAUUUGUGCAUCUAUGCAUAUGUGGUGGAAAUGUGUGUGAGUGUAAAGAUGUAUGUGCCUGUGGAUAAAUGUGUAGAGGAAAAAGGUCAAUGUCAGGUGUCACUCUGUUUGUUUGUUUGUUUGUUUGUUUGUUUUCCAGAGAUGGGGUCUUUUACUGGACCUGGAACUCAUCACUUCAGCUACACUGGCUGGCUAAUAAGCCUCUGGGAUGGCUUGUCUGAUGCACCGGGGUUACAGAUGUGUGUCAACACUGUCUUUCUUUUUCUUUUUCUUUUUUUUUUUAAACUCUAAUUUGUAUUUUACCUUAACUGUGGAAUGGGGAGCAUGCACAUGUCAUGGUUCACCUGUAGAGGUCAGAGGACAACCCAUGGGAUAUAGGUCUCUCCUUCCAUAUUGAGGAUCAUCAGGCUUCAUGGCCAGGACCUUUACCCACUCACCCAUCCCCACUGGUCCCCCCAUGGCUAUGUUAAGGAAAAAAUAAAAUAAGUGUCUCAAGGGUUCAUAGCCUAUGAUCAAGGAUAGAUAGAUAGAUAGAUAGAUAGAUAGAUAGACAGACAGACACACACAUACACACACACAUAUAUAUACAUAUAUAUACAUAUAUGGAUGUAUAUACAUCAAUAAAUAAUUGAACUAUAGUUUAAUGGUACUAUGGAUUCAAUCACCUUUUCUAGACUCUGAGGAAAGUAUUGUAGACAUAGGAAAAGUCUAGAUAAAAUAUAAAGUUACUUAAAAACAAAGAUUGGAUUGUCAGGGUAAAUGUUCUUUGUAUAAAAUUAAAUUUUAGGCUUUGGCUAUAGAUUCCGAGAUAGCUCCUUUUUUAAUUGGCCUGGAUUAUAGAGAAGAAAUCUGUUUUCACUGUGCAUUUGUUACCCGUUCUUCUCUGGGAUCCAUGUUCCUGAUGGAUCUUCUAAUGAUCUGAGAGGUGAUAUCUACUAUGAAAAUCCAAAAACCCUGGACUGUAUCAACUUAAUUUGUUUCAAGUUUUUGUGUCUGAGACUUGGUCGUCUGUGCCCAGGCUGACCUCCAACUAGAUCUAUAGCAGAGAUUAGCCUUGAGCUGCUGAUCCUCUUUCCUCUCCCUCGCAAACGCUGGGAUUGUAGGUAUUCAUCACUAAAUUUGGCAGUGAUAGAUUAAUUUGGGAAAGAAAAUCCAAAAGUAGGAUUCUCAACAGAGCCAAAAAGAUGAAAGAACAUCCUAGUUCUGCUUACAGCUCCUUCACUCUUCCUGUUUGUAGGACCAGAGGCCUGAUCAUGAUAGUGGAGUUCAUCUCUCCAGGAGUGAAAUUAUAGGGGGAUUUGAAAUUUCUGAAGUCAACUGGUUCUUAAGCUUCAAAAGCAAUUGACCUUUUCUAUAGGAAGCUACUUCUCCAUGUUUUACAUAGCCACGACAUUUCAAGAAGGACCUCAGGUUAAGAAGCAAUGGCUCUCAGUCAUUUUUUUCUCCACAUCCUGACAGCCAUAAAAAUAUUUGUGUGACACACUGGCACCCAGAACCACCAACCCAGAAGUGGCAACACCCACAGUGAGCUGUGCCUUCCCACAUCAAUCAUCAAUCAAAAUAUGUACCACAGGCCAAUCUGGACAAUGGAAAAGAAGACAGGGAACAGCAGCAGGACUCCUCAAAGGACAGAAAGGACGAAAAGAAUGAAAAGGACUUAAAGGAAACAAAGGAGGAAAAGGACAAAAAGGAAGAAAAGAACAAAAAGGACAAAAAGAAGGAAAAGGACAAACAGGACAAAAAGGAGGAAGAGGACAAAAAGGAGGAAGAGGACAAAAAGGAGGAAGAGGACACAAAGGAGGAAGAGGACAAAGAGGACGAAAAGGAGCCAUCAACAAAUCCACCAAGUGAUGUUGAUUCAGAAACUAGCAACCAAGUGACAGAAAAGGCAACGGUGGAUAUGAAAUUCCAAGCUGGUUCAACAAAGGACUCCCCUGCAGUUUCCAGGAAUGUUAUGCUUAAAAAGCCUGCAAAAGUGAUUCUUGGUAUAGACGAAAGUGAUCUGAGGUUCAAAGUACAGCUGCCGUGGAAGAAAAAUCUUAAUUUGAGGAUAGAGGAAAGAGCCCAGGCCAAGCAACAGAAAAUAUUAGAGAACGAUAAACUGAAGAAGGAACAGGAAAAGAAGGUUACAAAAAAGCUCCCUAGGGAUGACUUGGCUAAAGAGUGGUUCAAUCCUGAAAGCAUGACACUGAAUACCCGGGCGUACCUGCUGGACAAGCUUCUACCCACCUUGGUUCCCGGAGUGGAGCAAAUGCUGAUGCAGGUGGAGAAGAAGAAGCUUUUGAGCCAAGCUGACAUCCCAACCAAGUUUGAUCCAAUUAAUUAUUUGGGGGAAUAUUUAAUGAGACACAACACUCAUUAUAUCAAAGACCCAGGAGUGUCUGGCUACCAGAGGGUGAUGAAAGAGAUCACUGAAGAACUGAAGACUCAUGUCCCUGAUACGAUCAACAACAGUACAUUUCUUCAUACAUCACAGACUUGAAAAGCGAAGUCUUUGAGGAAUUCCUUAAACACCUGUGCCACAGCGCAGAAGAAUUCCGGGAGAUCAUACUGACUGACAUGCGGAGGCAGAUGUUUGCAGAACUCUUCCUACAGUGCGACAGUGGGAAGGUGAUGGCCUUGGAUCGGCAGAGGACACUGGCCCUGCUGGAAGCGUUCUAUGAUCAAUGCUCUUCCACCACUAGGAGUUUACUCCGAAACCCACGACAAUGGCCCUUUGUUGAAUUUGAAGAGAUAGAGUUGAUUGAGUUCUGGGGAGACAUGGAUAUUAAGAAGCACAUUUAUGAAGACUUUGAUGCACUGCUCUUAAAGAUGAAUAUGUUAGUUGCUGAAAAACUUGCAGGCAAACUCGCAGAAAACAAAGAUCUCCCACAGCAGCAGAGAGAUCAAGAACUUUCAUCUGACUCAACAACGGAGCCAGAAACUGCCACACAACUGACCUCACAACAGAGAUCCCGCAGAGUAUCACUUACAGGACAAGGACAGGGCAAAGGGCCUCGCAAAACAUCUGCUUCAAAACAAGGAGCAAGCAGAGGGUCAGUGGCAGAGCAAGGGUCCCGAAGAAGCUCGGGAGUGAACCAAACCCAGCAGAGAGGGUCGGUGGCAGAACAAGGAUCCCGAAGAAGCUCAGCAGUAGAACAAACCCAGCAGAGAGGGUCGGUGGCAGAGCAAGGGUCCCGAAGAAGCUCUACAGUAGAACAAACUCGGCAGAGAGGGUCAGUGGCAGAGCAAGGGUCCCGAAGAAGCUCUACAGUAGAACAAACCCAGCGGAGAGGGUCGGUGGCAGAGCAAGGGUCCCGAAGAAGCUCGGGAGUGAACCAAACCCAGCAGAGAGGGUCGGUGGCAGAACAAGGAUCCCGAAGAAGCUCGGCAGUAGAACAAACUCAGCAGAGAGGGUCGGUGGCAGAGCAAGGGUCCCGAAGAAGUUCAGCCAUGGAACAAGAGCCACAAACAGCACAAGAUCCAAACAGCGAUUCAUUGCCAGAACAAGAAUCACACAGAGGGUCCAUCACAGAAGGAUCACACAGAGGGUCAAUUUCAGAACCUGGGCAACGCAGAGCAUCAGUAACAGGACAACGCAGAAAGUCGUCUGUAGAUGACUCCGGUAGUGCAGGGUCACGCAGAGGAUCAGGGACAGAUCAAGGACAGCACAGAGGAUCCGUAGGGCAGCGCAAAGGGUCAGGAGAACGCAAAAUGUCAGCUUCAGAGUAUGGACCACAUCAAGAGUCCAUAACAGAAGAGCCCCUCACUGCGUCAGAACCAGGACCGCAAAUAGACACUAUUCAAGAACUGGAUGAAGACUCAACUCCACAAUUAGAAGACGAUAGUGCCCUAAAAGAAAGUAAAACCUCGGAACUCACUAAAAUAGAAACUCAAGAAGAAAAGCCUUUGCUGCUCAUCAACGAAGAGCAAGUCCCCAGAGAUUCCAAACAGCCAGAAGUUCCCACAUCCAGCAAAAAGGAACGUCCAUCAGGCAGCCCCAAAAAAGGGCGCCUUUCAGGAACUUCAAAAAGGGAUUCUCAGAAAGACAAAGCCUGUGAACCAAAGCCGCAACAUGUAGAAGGAAAAAAAUGGUCAGGAGAAUUUUUGAUCUGUGACUGGAAGAUAAAGCAUGUCAAAUCUGAAGAGGAGGAACAGGCCAAGUUAAUCUGUGAUGACACCAGAUUCACAGACCUACAUGCGACUAUUAGGAAUUUUCAGACUUACAAGGGGAUCAAAGGGAGGAGUGCCUUCAAUGGAGUCUCCCUCGAUUUGCUGCAGUUUGUACAGCUCCUGGAGACAUUUGUUGGUGAAGACACCUCCUUCAGUCUCAGCAAGGACCUCGCCUCCUUUUUUCAGAAGAACUAUUCUGAAACAAAGCAAGAGAAAAUUAAAGCCUUAGAACAGGCCAGACAAAAUUCCUCCCGCAUCCGACGGAGAAUUCUCCUCCAAGCCAUCUUUGAGAAGUGGGACAAUGAUGGCUCAGGCUUUCUGGAUCUGAAUGAAGUUGAUGAUCUCCUGUAUACAUAUAAGGAGGGAAUGGAAAGAGAAUCUAUGAAGAAAGCUAAACUGCACAUAAAUUUUCCAGAGCCAAGUCCCGGUCACGAAGUUAAACUGUCUUCAAAGCAAUUUCAGAGGUACAUAGAACUGGUCGUAUCUGAACUCAGGGGCAAUGAAGACGAAGUUCUGGAAAGUGUUGUGGAAUUCCUGAUGGGUUCUUUAGAGAGGAGCCACGUUGAGGGUCUAAGGAACUGUGCAAGGCGGAAAUGGCUCCAUCAGAUUCAGUACGCUGCAGAGACAAGUGGGGUGUCCCUGGAGCCGGUGUACACUGAGACCUUCAGGGUCCUCACCCAGGACGCUGAGGCUCACGGAAAUAAGAAGAUCAGUGCUCACAUCUCCCUCCUAGAGGAAAACGUGUUCCUGCCUGAGAGAGGGCACGUUCUCUUGAGGAACGUGGCUUGUACUCUAGAUGACGCUCCGUUCGUCCUGAACAAAGUGCUCUACAGGGACAUGAAGGGAAUCAGCUUUACAGUAGUGGAUGAAGGAAAGCCAAUCCAUGUCCCCCAAGUUCAGCACCAUGGAAAUAUCUUCUUCUGGAACAGUUUCCGAAGUAAGAAUGAGUAUAACGGGUCGUUCCUGGCUUUGCCUCUUCAGGAUGCAUACAUGAGGAUCUUUGGGGUCCUGGCAGUUGACACGCUUCGAGAUCCUCAUGAAAUAAACAUCUUCUUACCUCAUGAGAUCAAAUUCUAUCAGGGGGUCGCCAAUGCCUUCAGCACAGCUUACCACCAUGUUCACAGCAGGGAACACGUGCUGCACUCCGUGAUGACUGGCAUCCGGUGGCUCUUCAGUGUCACAUCUGGCAUCACCACCAUCACUACAUGCUUCAUCGAACCCAGCUCAGAACAGGAAGACUAUGUUUUGCGCAAUAUGAUGGUUACAGAUUGUCUCGGUCUAGCAGAAAUCCACACAGAUCCCCCGACCAUCACGAGGAACGCAUGCAUCUUUAGGGACUUCCUCUUUAAAUGCACAGACACUUCAGAAGUUAUUUUGGCUUCUUCCGGUGGAGAAACCCACAUUGCCAUUCCACUUCGCCAGAGAACCAAAGAGGCUAUGGGCAUCCUCGAUGUUAACAUUGGCCGGAGCAGGAUGCUGCUGUACCAAGAGUAUAAAGAUCUACAGAAAAUGGUGAAGAUGAUCCAAAACGUCUCCUAUGAAAUACUGGGCGAAUUCUCUGGCGAAAUCGAGAAAACUAUGGUUAUAGGUAUUGUGAAUAUGGUAUCAGGGUAUAUUUUCCAACUAAUCAUUUCAGAAUGUCGAUCUUUCCAUGUGCGGAGAAUCCCCUUGUGCAGUCUUAGCCAUGUGAAUGUCUGUUCUGUGACCCAGCAAAGGACAAGGACUCAUGUCAUCAUCUUAGUUUAGCCUUCCAGUAAGAGGCAAGAUGGCCCAUCUGCUGGGAAACACAUGAGGGCAAUGGAUAGCCCAUUUCACAAAUGUGCAAAGUGAGAUUUAGUAAGCAGCAGAUGGUAAAAAGCUGAGCUUUGCACCUGUUUUUUCCUCCACAAUUUGACACCAUUUUUUAUAUAUAAUGGAGGAAGCCUUCAGCCUAAGCCUUAACUAUAAAACUCAAAUUUGGGUUUGUUUGUUUGUUUGUUUUUUCCGGUUUUAUCCCUAAAUAGUACAUCAGAUAUAAUUCUAUUUUGCUAUUUCUUUUUUCAUGAUCAGAGAAACUAAAGUUGCUUAAAAUCACGGGACAUGGUUUUCUUUUGCCUGAGAAAAAUGGUUUAUUAUAACAUGCUCCAAAUGCUGUGCGUGUUAUGUUCAUAAUUAGAAUAUGUGUAAUUCCAGAGAUGGAAUCGGCAGGAGAGGUGAAGCGGGCUGGGAUCCUUUUCUUCCGAACCAUGCUGCAGGAGCUGCAGGAAUGCCUCUGCCUCCUCGAUUCCAUGGACUUUGUGUCGCUGCUUCUCUAUGAGCACAAAUAUCAUGUCGACUCCAUCCUUCAGGACAUCACUCUCCAGGAGGUGGAAGCCAAUGUGGCCCUGGUGCACGACGUCCUGAAAGGAGUUAUUCUGUUCUCUCAGCGGGAGAAAGACUCUUUAAGCGACUUGGAAGAGUGGGAAAAAUGGAAGUUUCAUAUUAACAAGUACUUAGUGGAGGAGAUUUGUGUGCUUGAUCCGACUGCUAGCAACGUGGAGGUUAAUGUAGAGCUCGUUACAAGCUAUAUCCAAGCUCAUUCUCGGACUGAAGUCUGGAAUUUCAGGAACAUUGUCAUUGAACUCCUGUAUCACUGGAUAAACAUCUGUCUGACUCUCAUAGAGCUAAACAUGCGACAAGAUGUUUCCAUUAUCCCGCCAUUGCCCAAGAAGAGUGCCACCUCUAUUUAUGCAAUAUCCUCAGAAAGAUCAAUCCGAGAGAAACUUUAAGGACUGGUACUGUGUCGGGACAUGUUGAUUGUGUCCAAUGCUGUUAACCAUGAAAUAUUUUCAACUGGAAAGAGUACCCCAUAGAUAUAUUCUGCUCCCAGAUACUCACCCCAGUACUCUCUAAAGCCAAAAGUGCUACCUACCUAAGGGAAAAAUUUUAUCUAAAGAGCAUGCAUUGAUGAUGACCAUAACCAGAAGCACCAGCGGAAUACGUAAUAGAAUGUAUUUCAGUUUGAGCUUCCUGUAUGACAGACUAGUAUAGCUGUUUGGGAAGUUGCUUUCCAUUAAUUUAAAUAGCAUAAUAAAGAGUACUGGGGGUCUGGACAGUGAGAAAUGGCAGCUUUUACAUCAAAAGAGUACCAAACAAUAAAGAGUUUAAGAAGUGGACUUGUAACUGGUUUUUGGUUUGGGUUUUUUUUUUUUUUUUUAGAAUUUUUUCAUAGAUUAUCCAAACACUACUUCUCCAUCUCUUCUUCAUCUCUUCUUUCCUUAACAAUUUAAAAGUCACUUUUAUAUUUCUGGUUGGUUGGUUGGUUGGUUGGUUGAAACAGUAUCUCCAUAUAUUUCUGAGACUAGCCUGGAACUGGCUAUGUAGCCCAGGCUGGCUUUGAACUCCUGAUAUUCCUGCCUCAGCACCUUGAGGGCUGUGAGAAUAAUUAUGUACCCUGCCAUAAAUAUCAUUUCAAUGAACAGGAAAUGUUUGUCCAUGGCUCACAGAAUAAAGAAAACAGCAAUUUUUAUUAACAAAAACUUCUCAAGUUUGUAACUACAAAAGAAUGGAUAUUUGCUCAGAGCUUGUUAUUACAGCAAACUUUACUGCUGUGUUGUAAGAUUUCAUCUUUGUAAGAAAAUAUCUUACCCCAUUUUUAAUAAAAUUGGGAAAUUAAA